GACGAACGCUGGCGGCGUGCUUAACACAUGCAAGUCGAACGGAAAGGCCCUGCUUUUGUGGGGUGCUCGAGUGGCGAACGGGUGAGUAACACGUGAGUAACCUGCCCUUGACUUUGGGAUAACUUCAGGAAACUGGGGCUAAUACCGGAUAGGAGCUCCUGCUGCAUGGUGGGGGUUGGAAAGUUUCGGCGGUUGGGGAUGGACUCGCGGCUUAUCAGCUUGUUGGUGGGGUAGUGGCUUACCAAGGCUUUGACGGGUAGCCGGCCUGAGAGGGUGACCGGCCACAUUGGGACUGAGAUACGGCCCAGACUCCUACGGGAGGCAGCAGUGGGGAAUAUUGCACAAUGGGCGGAAGCCUGAUGCAGCAACGCCGCGUGCGGGAUGACGGCCUUCUGGUUGUAAACCGCUUUCGCCUGUGACGAAGCGUGAGUGACGGUAAUGGGUAAAGAAGCACCGGAUAACUACGUG
rnacentral:rRNA from 1 species